rnacentral:rRNA from 1 species
GAUGAACGCUGGCGGCGUGCCUAAUACAUGCAAGUCGAACGCAUUGUGGUUGAAAUGAUAUGAAGAACUUGUUCAGAUUUGAUUUUCAACAUUGCAAUGAGUGGCGAACGGGUGAGUAACACGUGGGAAACCUACCUCUUAGCAGGGGAUAACAUUUGGAAACAAAUGCUAAUACCGUAUAAUAAUUAAAAACCGCAUGGUUUUAGUUUAAAAGAUGGUCUUGCUAUCACUAAGAGAUGGUCCCGCGGUGUAUUAGUUAGUUGGUGAGGUAAUGGCUCACCAAGACAAUGAUACAUAGCCGAGUUGAGAGACUGACGGCCACAAUGGGACUGAGACACGGCCCAUACUCCUACGGGAGGCAGCAGUAGGGAAUCUUCCACAAUGGACGAAAAGUCUGAUGGAGCAACGCCGCGUGUGUGAUGAA